GAUGAAGAACGCAGCGAAAUGCGAUAAGUAAUGCGAAUUGCAGAAUUCAGUGAGUCAUCGAAUCUUUGAACGCACAUUGCGCCCCCUGGCAUUCCGGGGGGCAUGCCUGUUCGAGCGUCAUUACAACCCUCAAGCUCUGCUUGGUAUUGGGCUCUGCUGGGACCGGCAGGCCUUAAAAUCAGUGGCGGCGCCACUCGGCUUCAAGCGUAGUAAUUCUUCUCGCUUCGGAGACCCGGGUGCGUGCUAGCCAGCAACCCCCAACUUUCUUAGGUUGACCUCGGAUCAGGUAGGGAUACCCGCUGAACUUAAGCAUAUCAAUAAGCGGAGGA
rnacentral:misc_RNA from 1 species